UACAGAGGGGGCAAGCGUUUAUUCGGAAUUAUUGGGCGUAAAGGGCGCGUAGGCGGCCUGGCAAGUGGAAGGUGAAAUCCCUCGGCUUAACCGAGGAACUGCCUCCCAAACUGCUUGGCUUGAGACCGGGAGAGGUGAGUGGAAUUCCCAGUGUAGCGGUGAAAUGCGUAGAUAUUGGGAGGAACACCAGUGGCGAAGGCGGCUCACUGGACCGGUACUGACGCUGAUGCGCGAAAGCGUGGGGAGCAAACGGGG
rnacentral:rRNA from 1 species